rnacentral:rRNA from 2 species
GUGCGAGACCGAUAGCGAACAAGUACCGUGAGGAAAAGAUGAAAAGAACUUUGAAAAGAGAGUUAAAGAGUACCUGAAACUGCUGAAAGGGAAGCGAAUCGUAUCCAGUGUCUAUAAUCUGCGGCAUAUUUCAUUGGCGGCGGUGCGCGUGCUUUUGCGUCGGAAGCGGCUUUUGUUGCUCUGUGCUUUUGCUGUGCGUGGUGUUGCUGGUGCCCUGUGUUGCGGUGGGACGUCAGAGUCAGUUUGUAUGCUGCGGGAAAUGGCUGCCGAGGAGGUAGGUCAGGACUUCGGUCUUGGCUGUUAUAUCUUGGUGGUUUGUUGUCGUGGUUGGGACUGAGGUGCCUACAAUGUGCUUUUGAGUGUGCCGGGUUCUCAUUUGGUGGACUGUUUGGAUAGCUUGCUAUGCUUGUGGUUUUUUCAUCGAGUGAUUGAGUCUGGUGGUAACUUGUUGCUGUUCGGGACUUUGA